rnacentral:tRNA from 1 species
AAAAAACUAGUUUAAAUAAAAUAAGUUGUUUACACCAACUUGAUACUAUUAUUUUAGUAGUGUUUUUUA